rnacentral:rRNA from 1 species
UUGGAGGGCAAGUCUGGUGCCAGCAGCCGCGGUAAUUCCAGCUCCAAUAGCGUAUAUUAAAGUUGUUGCAGUUAAAAAGCUCGUAGUUGAAUUUCGGGAUCAAAUAAUCGGUCGUGCCUCCGGUACGUACUGGUUUUAUUGGUUCCUCCCUUCUGACGAACCAUGAUGUCAUUAAUUUGAUGUGGUGGAGAAUCAGGACUGUUACCUUGAAAAAAUUAGAGUGUUUAAAGCAGGCUAACGCUUGAAUACAUUAGCAUGGAAUAAUGAAAUAGGACGUUCGACCCUAUUUUGUUGGUUUCUAGGAUUGACGUAAUGAUUAAUAGGGAUAGUUGGGGGCAUUAGUAUUCAAUUGUCAGAGGUGAAAUUCUUGGAUUUAUUGAAGACUAACUACUGCGAAAGCAUUUGCCAAGGAUGUUUUCAUUAAUCAAGAACGAAAGUUAGGGGAUCGAAGACGAUCAGAUACCGUCGUAGUCUUAACCAUAAACUAUGCCGACUAGGGAUCGGAUGAUGUUAAUUUUUUAAUGACUCAUUCGGCGCCUUACGGGAAAC